UACGAAGGGGGCUAGUGUUGCUCGGAAUCACUGGGCGUAAAGCGCACGUAGGCGGCUUUCUAAGUCAGGGGUGAAAUCCUGGAGCUCAACUCCAGAACUGCCUUUGAUACUGGGGAGCUCGAGUCCGGAAGAGGUGAGUGGAACUCCGAGUGUAGAGGUGAAAUUCGUAGAUAUUCGGAAGAACACCAGUGGCGAAGGCGGCUCACUGGUCCGGUACUGACGCUGAGGUGCGAAAGCGUGGGGAGCGAACAGG
rnacentral:rRNA from 1 species